UACGAAGGGUGCAAGCGUUACUCGGAAUCACUGGGCGUAAAGUGUGCGUAGGCGGUUUCUUAAGUCUGUCGUGAAAGCCCUGGGCUCAACCUGGGAAUGGCGAUGGAUACUGGGAGGCUAGAGUGUGAUAGAGGAUGGUGGAAUUCCCGGUGUAGCGGUGAAAUGCGUAGAGAUCGGGAGGAACACCAGUGGCGAAGGCGGCCAUCUGGAUCAACAC
rnacentral:rRNA from 1 species